GUGUCCCCAUGCCCCGUUUGGUGUCCCAUGCCCUGUUUGGUGUCCCCAUGCCCCUGUUUGGUGUCCCAUGCCCCUGUUUGGUGUCCCAUGCCCUGUUUGGUGUCCCCAUGCCCUGUUUGGUGUCCCAUGCCCCUGUUUGGUGUCCCAUGCCCUUUUGGUGUCCCAUGCCCCCUUUGGUGUCCCAUGCCCUGUUUGGUGUCCCCAUGCCCCUGUUUGGUGUCCCAUGCCCCUGUUUGGUGUCCCAUGCCCUGUUUGGUGUCCCCAUGCCCUGUUUGGUGUCCCCAUGCCCCUGUUUGGUGCCCCAUGCCCUGUUUGGUGUCCCCAUGCCCCUGUUUGGUGUCCCCAUGCCCUGUUUGGUGUCCCCAUGCCCUGUUUGGUGUCCCAUGCCCCUGUUUGGUGUCCCCAUGCCCCUGUUUGGUGUCCCAUGCCCUGUUUGGUGUCCCCAUGCCCCUGUUUGGUGUCCCCAUGCCCCUGUUUGGUGUCCCAUGCCCUGUUUGGUGUCCCCAUGCCCCCUUUGGUGUCCCAUGCCCCUGUUUGGUGUCCCAUGCCCCCUUUGGUGUCCCAUGCCCUGUUUGGUGUCCCAUGCCCUGUUUGGUGUCCCAUGCCCCUGUUUGGUGUCCCAUGCCCCCUUUGGUGUCCCAUGCCCCCUUUGGUGUCCCAUGCCCCUGUUUGGUGUCCCCAUGCCCCUGUUUGGUGUCCCAUGCCCUGUUUGGUGUCCCAUGCCCCUGUUUGGUGUCCCCAUGCCCCUGUUUGGUGUCCCCAUGCCCUGUUUGGUGUCCCCAUGCCCUGUUUGGUGUCCCCAUGCCCCCUUUGGUGUCCCAUGCCCUGUUUGGUGUCCCAUGCCCUGUUUGGUGUCCCAUGCCCUGUUUGGUGUCCCCUGCCCCUUUCUGGUUGUCCCAUGCCCUGUUUGGUGUCCCAUGCCCUGUUUGGUGUCCCCAUGCCCCUGUUUGGUGUCCCCAUGCCCUGUUUGGUGUCCCCGUGCCCCCUUUGGUGUCCCCAUGCCCUGUUUGGUGUCCCCAUGCCCCUGUUUGGUGUCCCAUGCGCCCGCUUUGGAGGUGGGGGGUACCUGUCACUGAACAGCGGCUCGUGGACGCUACAGCAGCUGCAGCAGGUUGGCACUGCCCGCCGGCGCCUGGCGCGCAGCGACACAAAGGGCACAAGUGACAUCAGCUACCGCGUUAUCCACACACCUCAUGGUGUUAAAUACUUCGAUUUAUGAACAUAAUGGUAAUAUAAAUCUAAAUGUACAUGUAAAUGUACAUAGAAAUAUGAAUAUAA
rnacentral:lncRNA from 14 species